UACGUAGGGUGCGAGCGUUGUCCGGAAUUACUGGGCGUAAAGAGCUCGUAGGUGGUUUGUCGCGUUGUCCGUGAAAACUCACAACUCAAUUGUGGGCGUGCGGGCGAUACGGGCAGACUGGAGUACUGCAGGGGAGACUGGAAUUCCUGGUGUAGCGGUGAAAUGCGUAGAUAUCGAGAGGAACACCUGCGGCGAAGGCGGGUUGCUGGGCUGACACUGACGCUGAAGCGCGAAGCUAGGGGAGCGAACGGA
rnacentral:rRNA from 1 species